rnacentral:miRNA from 1 species
UUUUAUACAAGUUUAGCU